rnacentral:rRNA from 1 species
UACGGAGGGGGCUAGCGUUGUCCGGAAUUAUUGGGCGUAAAGGGCUCGUAGGCGGUUUGUCGCGUCGGGAGUGAAAACACCGGGCUUAACUCGGUGCUUGCUUCCGAUACGGGCAGACUAGAGGCAUGCAGGGGAGAACGGAAUUCCUGGUGUAGCGGUGAAAUGCGCAGAUAUCAGGAGGAACACCGGUGGCGAAGGCGGUUCUCUGGGCAUGUCCUGACGCUGAGGAGCGAAAGUGUGGGGAGCGAACAGG